AGUGCUUGCACUUUGGCAGACUGAGUGGCGGACGGGUGAGUAACGCGUGGGUAACCUGCCUUAUACAGGGGGACAACAGUUGGAAACGACUGCUAAUACCGCAUAAGCGCACAGCUUCGCAUGAAGCAGUGUGAAAAACUCCGGUGGUACAAGAUGGACCCGCGUCUGAUUAGCUGGUUGGUGAGGUAACGGCCCACCAAGGCGACGAUCAGUAGCCGGCCUGAGAGGUUGAACGGCCACAUUGGGACUGAGAUACGGCCCAGACUCC
rnacentral:rRNA from 1 species